rnacentral:rRNA from 1 species
UACGUAGGGGGCUAGCGUUGUCCGGAAUCAUUGGGCGUAAAGCGCGUGUAGGCGGCCCGGUAAGUCCGCUGUGAAAGUCGGGGGCUCAACCCUCGAAUGCCGGUGGAUACUGUCGGGCUAGAGUGCGGAAGAGGCGAGUGGAAUUCCUGGUGUAGCGGUGAAAUGCGCAGAUAUCAGGAGGAACACCGAUUGCGAAGGCAGCUCGCUGGGACGUAACUGACGCUGAGACGCGAAAGCGUGGGGAGCGAACAGG